AUUGAACGCUGGCGGCAGGCUUAACACAUGCAAGUCGAGCGGAGAUGAGGUGCUUGCACCUUAUCUUAGCGGCGGACGGGUGAGUAAUGCUUAGGAAUCUGCCUAUUAGUGGGGGACAACAUUCCGAAAGGAAUGCUAAUACCGCAUACGUCCUACGGGAGAAAGCAGGGGAUCUUCGGACCUUGCGCUAAUAGAUGAGCCUAAGUCGGAUUAGCUAGUUGGUGGGGUAAAGGCCUACCAAGGCGACGAUCUGUAGCGGGUCUGAGAGGAUGGUCCGCCACACUGGGACCGAGACACGGCCCAGACUCCUACGGGAGGCAGAAGUGGGGAAUAUUGGACAAUGGGCGCAAGCCUGGUCCAGCCAUGCCGCGUGUGUGAAGAAGGCCUUAUGGUUGUAAAGCACUUUAAGCGAGGAGGAGGCUACUUUAGUUAAUACCUAGAGAUAGUGGACGUUACUCGCAGAAUAAGCACCGGCUAACUCUGUGCCAGCAGCCGCCGUAACAC
rnacentral:rRNA from 1 species